UUGAAAUUCUCCCCCCACCCAAAAAAAAACCCGCGUCGCCCAACCUCUCACCCAUCCCCACCCCCCUUGCCUAGCCAUGGAUUCAAAGCUUCUGGAUUGCUUAAAAUAAGCCAGUGUGCAACUAUAAAUAUUGGGUGUUGGCUCCCCUCCCCUUUUCGCAUUGGUCCGAGUUACGCAAAUUUGGAUCGUGAAAUCCGAGAGUAAUUACAAAGCGACCUUGGAGUUAACUCUUCCAUCAAUAAAGUGUAUAUUGUGCAUCAUGGUCGAUUAAAAUGUUGAUGGUAGUUUUCUUCUCUUCAGUGAGGUUGAGUUAGCUGGUUUACCUCCAGAUUUCCUUAAGAGUUACGAGAGCAGCAGCUAGAAAGCUACGGAUUUCUUAAGACUCAAGAUAUUCUGCUGUGGUCCAAGGAACAUAUGAUGCAAUAUUCUUCCUUUGCUCUUGUUGACGUAUCAAAUAUUAUUAUUUCAAGCAUUAUUUUUUACUUUAUGAAAACAGCUUGUGCACAUCUCAUGAAUGAAACAAAAAUGGAUCUUUUUGCAAUACGGAAAAGAUUUACCAACACCAUUGAGAAUAAAAAAGAAACUAAAGUUCUAUCUGAUGCAAAGAAAAUAAAUUGCUAAACACCAGGGAUGCUCAUCU